AUUGAACGCUGGCGGCAGGCUUAACACAUGCAAGUCGAACGAGUGGCGGACGGGUGAGUAAUGCUUGGGAAUCUGCCUGAUGGAGGGGGAUAACUACUGGAAACGGUCGCUAAUACCGCAUACCAUCAGAUGAACCCAUAUGGGAUUAGCUGGUGGGUAAGGUAACGGCUUACCUAGGCGACGAUCCCUAGCGGGUCUGAGAGGAUGAUCGGCCACACUGGGACUGAUACACGGCCCAGAUUCCUACGGGAGGCAGCAGUGGGGAAUAUUGGACAAUGGGGGCAAGCCUGAUACAGCCAUGCCGCGUGUAUGAAGAAGGCCUUCGGGUGGUAAAGUACGUUCAGUCGGGAGGCGUUACCUACAGAAGAAGCACCGGCUAACUACGUGCCAGCAGCCGCGGUAAUAC
rnacentral:rRNA from 1 species